UUUUUAUGAGAGUUUGAUCCUGGCUCAGGACGAACGCUGGCGGCGUGCCUAAUACAUGCAAGUAGAACGCUGAAGUCUGGUGCUUGCACUAGACGGAUGAGUUGCGAACGGGUGAGUAACGCGUAGGUAACCUGCCUCAUAGCGGGGGAUAACUAUUGGAAACGAUAGCUAAUACCGCAUAACAGUAUUUACCGCAUGGUA
rnacentral:rRNA from 1 species